UCGGUGCGCAGCGUGGCGACGCCGCGCGCCAUGAAGAAGUCGCCGGUGCCGCCGACGACGGAGAUGUCCCUCGUCUUCUCCGCCAUGAGGUCGGCGCCCAUGAGGUUGAGCGUGCCCCUGUGCGCCGUGGAGUUGAACACGAGGGAGAAGGCGAACCACGCGCUGAGCGCCUCCUUCCUGUCGUAGAAGUAGAACCCCUCCGCGCGCGCCACCGGCGCCGACGCCAGCGCCGGCGCAGCCGUCACCACGUCGUUGAACACUACGAUCUCGCCGAAGUAGGUGUCGUUGAUGGACACCGACCUGCUCAGCAGCGUCGGCUGCGUCGCCGCCGCCGCCGUCGCGUUCGCCGUGUUGGUGCCGUCGUAGAGGAUGUCGUGGUAGUAGACCGUCAUGUUCAGGCACGGCUCGCCGUCGUGGCUGGACACGAGCCGCCGCCGGCCAUGGGCGACGCCGGUCAUCAGUCCAAGCAGCAGCAAGAUGGCAGGGAUCACAGUGAUGAGCUUGCAAGUUGGCAUAAGGCCUUGCAUUAUUGUCAGUGUCAGACUCUGAGUGAAAGUGAAUAGACUGAGUGUCAGACUGUCGUCGGUGCAAGACUAGCUAGAAGACACUAUCAGUGAGAACCUAUAGCCAGCUCUCUUGUUCUUAUUUGCGUUGGUGAGUUGAGUGGUGCAUUGCGUAUUUAUAGAGCCAAAUGGUGUGGGAAUAUGCAGUAGAUCCGAGUGUUGAUGUGGAGCUGGUUUAAUUUGAUCCCGAUCGAUCGAUCUAGUGAAACGGGCGGAUGCGAUGAGAAGCACACGCACAUGGUUGUAACUUGAAAGUUUUGGAGCAGCAUAUGUCUUGGUAAGAUUUCAGUGUCACGCAUGACUCCUCUUUUCCCUAUUUACUAUAGCUGGUGUAUGGUCGUAUAUACCAGCUAUCCAAUGGCAGUUACAUUAUUUUAAGUGCUCGACUGAAACAUGAAAAUGACCAUUCGAAUUUCUUCUUUGCCUUUUUCGUUGUCAAUAAGUAGGUGAGCACAGGCACAACAUUUUAUUGGGAUAGAUGGGUGCGUGAUUUUGGUUUCCCAAACUAGCAGGAUGGCCAUUUUUUUUUAUAUCAGCACAUUAACCAUUUCUAAUGGACACUUAAGUUUUUGUGUAAGUUCAUGAUAGCGCAAAAAAAAAAGCGCAUCAUAAAAAAAUGAAAUUAAAACACUCUUUUCUUGGACCUGGAUAUUCUUAUUUUUGUUAGAAAAAAGCAAACGGCCGCUACAUUUAUUGUAUACACGACAUAUACAUAGUUUGCCAAAUGAGCGACUAGGUCAGCAGUUGAAAAAUUUACCAUAGUCUAGUAAGUUGCCUACCACUGUAUAAAUAGCCAUACGGGUGAGGCACACAUAAUUAAGACGCGCCAAACCUAUAUUCGUCUGAUCCUUGGUGUGCAGAGUAUAAUAACCCCCUCAAGUACUAAGUACUCCCUCCAUUCCAAAUUAUUAUUUAUUUUGCAUAUGGAAAGCUAUGUACUUAGAAAAGUAAAAAGGUAAAAUGAAUAGUAAUUUUUAGGAUGGAUGGAGGAAGUACUUGACCAUUUUAUCACAACACAGCUUAUUCUCAUGUCAUGGGGCAUUAUGAUUUUGUUGCAACCUCAUGCGCGUGCCCAUAUGAUUGAUAACUAUACUUGGAUCCAUUACUUUUACUUGUUGAAAUGACCACGCGAUGAUGAACACAUGCAUGGAAUACAUGUAAACUUGCUCGAUUGGUCGCCAGGGACAAGAGAAGCAUCAGAUGAGCUGAGUCACUCCGAUGUAUAGUAUUCCACCGGGUUUGGUGUGCGAUCAGCUCAACCAAUGAUGCAGAACUGAUAGUGAUCGAGCUGCAGCAGCAAUACAACUAAUGAACAAUCAACCAAUUAACCGAGCACGUAAACAGAUAUUUUGAACUGCAACAUGACGUGCUUUUAGAGAAUGUAAAACCUGUCGGUAAUCUGUACAUACCUGCGUGUCUUUAGCAAGGGCCAGUUUGGUAGAGCUCUAGCUCCGUGUUCUCCUACGGCUCCAGCUAAAGUCCUACCAAACAGUUUAAUCAAAAACGGCUCCAUCCCUAGAGCACUAGACGAGCCGGAGCCAUUUUAUAUGGAGAAGCCGGAGAAAAAAAAAAGUAGUUCAUGCGGCUUCUUCUCAUCUUAGGAGGAGCCGGAGCCCUACCAAACUGACCCUAAAUCGUACGUGGAAAGAUGUGAACGUUCAUGCAGUAGUUUUUUUUCCCCCAAUUUUCCUUGUAUAGACCUUUUUAAGCCAUCUGUUCUGAAACCAGCCGUCCAGAUAUAUCAUGACACUUGCUCUCUUAUGCUCACAAUAAACAAAGAGGUGGUGCAGUGAACGUGCCUCGGCUGCUGUUCCGUGCAACUACCUCUCCAACAGUUUGUAUAUGUAGGUGCAGCAGGACGAGACGAGUGAGGAGGAAGCAAAGCGAUGGUGCACGUGCACGCUAAUGCCUCCUCCAGAGGUGAGCCGGCUGCUGGCUCUUAAAAGCGUAUGGGGGCGCUUCCACGUAUCUGUACACUGUUAUCUGUACACUGCACCGCGGUUUGGUGAAAGAGUGGUUCCCGUUUAGGGCACCCGCACCGCAUUGUGCAUUUGUGUGCCAUGGUUCAGUGCUUCAAAUGCCAAAUCAGGAACCAUGCUUCGUUUUUAUCAUUAGUUUUAGCUGCAACGUGCAAGCUUUCUUCUGUACUCUUCCUCCUGCCGCUUUUUUGGCUUCCUCUGACACAAGCAAAGCAAGGCUGGUUAUUGAUGAGCUAGUAAAGGAAUUGCUUGGGCAUCGAUGCAACUAGACGUCUGCUUUUUUUAUCCGGGCAUGGCUGCUCUCUCUGCGCGCGUGGGGUGGUUGGAGUUGGAGGCGUCAGUUGUGUUGUGUUGUGCGCUUGCUCGAUCGCCCCUUCCAAAAAGUGCAUGAGCUAGUAAAGUCGAAGUUUAUAGUAGCAAUAAAAUUACUAAAAGCCAAUGCGUAAACUGUAAAUCCAUCAGCGGGAAGGCGAAGAAGUGAAGUGUUGAUGACAUCUCCACUGUCUCCAUAUGGUUGGAUCAUCGUAUCCUUUUGCUCCUCUCUCACCGUACUGUAGCUGUAAUUGCAAGUCUAAAUGUGGACACGCUCGAUCGGUUGACAGGGACAAGAGAAGCAUCCGAGUCACAUUUGUAAUGGUAUGUAUGGACAUAAGUAUAUGGUGACGAUUGUAAAAUUUGAUGUGAGUUUUAUUCCUUAAAUUACGUCUCAUUUUACUGCUUUUCAAGUAGGGAAAAAGAUGGCAGAUGACUAAAUUAAUUACCUCACUGUCUUAGCUGAGGUCUGACGAUGGAAAUAAGGAGAUCUUAUUUAACGUCUCCCCUUUUUCUUCAAUUUUCUUUGGAUCGACGUUUGUAAGCCAUCCGUUCUGAAGACAGAAUUGAUCUGAAGAGGGAGAUGUUAUCAUGGUACUGCUUUCUUCAACCUCUCUUCUAUUCGUGACACUUCCUCUCAUGCCCAAUAAAGAAAAAAAAAGGGUGAAACGUGCCACUGCUGCUGGUCCGUGCAACGUACCUCUCCAACAGUCUGGAGGUGCAGCUAGCAGGGCGAGACCAGCGAGGACGAAGCAAAGUGAUGGUGCACGCUAAGAAAAAAUAGUCGCUCGUCAACGUCAGCAUUGUUGCAUGCAUCGACCGGCGACUCACAAAUACUGCGCCGCGCUUUGAUGAAAUAGUCGUUUCCUUCACAGCUCUGGAACUAGGACGUCGUCCACUGCUUUACCUUCGGUUCGCUCGCAACUUGUAGGAGCGAGAGCGAGACGGGGUACACUUUUUCUUUCAGUAAUAAAAAUAGUAUUCGGCUUCAGCACCAUAAAGAGAGAAUUAGUCUACGUAUUAUUAUACUUUAGGGAAUUAAAUUUUAAAAUAGCAAUAAAAUUGUUAAAAAGUCAAUCUGCAAAUACAAGUUUAUCAAUGUGAAGCGAAGAAGUGAAGUGCCGAAGACAUGUUUGGAUCAUCCUCUCUCUCCCACUGUGUUGUAACUGCGUUCAGUGUUGGAAGUCGGAACCACUCCAUCCGUUCUAAAUUAUAGAUCAUCUUGAUAUUUAACUUGUUCUAAAUUAUUUACCUAUAUAUACUAUGUCUAGAUAUAUAUAUCAAAACGACCUGCAAUUUAGGACGGGAGUAGUAUUACAUUUUUCGAAUAAAACCCGUUGCCAUUUAUGAGAGAGACGAGGCACAGUGGCACACGACCAACGAGGGAGGGGCGCUGAUGGGCCAAGCCUGCGAGGCAAUUGAAGCCCAGAGCCUUUCUCACCGUCAGCCUCUUCACUCCCGCGGGGGGCUGGAAGCUGGGCUGCUAUGAGCUCGCAAUUUGGCGCGGUAUUGAACAAAAUACCUGUUUUCCUCUAAAAAUAGUUAACUUUAUAAAAAUAGGCGAUCAUACAGUGGCAUGCUGCAAAGCGUGUUUCAAGCAUGAAUUUCUUGCGGUUGCCUAUUGGGCGAACAAGAAAUACAUCGCACACAUAUUAGAAUGGCUCGCAAAUUUUUCCCUUUUUUUUGGAUUUACAACAGCAAGUCCGUGCUGUCCUUUUCUUAGAAGGCUUUAUUUCAACCAGCAAAGUACACCAUCCAAAUAGUCAUAAAAAUUCCUAAACAAGCCAUUAAUUGGUGUACAUGAUGUCAUCUAGCACUCAACUAAACAAAACUGUAUGCCAAACGAUGGUUUUUUUAAUAAAAGAUAUAUGUAGAGAAAGAUAGAGUUUUGUUUACCUGAAAUUUGUCCAAAAUCACCUAGUUUUGGCCAUACACGUCGCUAACCAAGAUUAUUUUUGGAAUAUAACGGUGCAAACUACUCUCUUUUCAUUCAUUUGUAUAUACAAGGCGUACUUUGACUGUACACAGUUGAUCUUUGCCCACAAGUUAUUUAUACCAUAUGAUCUGUCCUUUAACAGUUAUAAGAACAUAGUCAUAAGAAGCAUUCUCUGACUCUUUAUAUUUAAACUCAUGCAAAUACAACCAUGUCGGCUUACAACAAUAUAAUGUGAUACACACAAUCCAAACGCCCACAGGUAUAAUAAUAAGUAAUCCAUGCAUUACAACAAGACGCGAAAUUAACAACACUUCACAACACACAACACAUGUACUGAUGUACGUGCUUGGUGAAAACAAUAUUAUUUGAUAUGCAUUCUUAGACGUCGUAGCAGUCGUAGAGCUUGAUGUCCAUCUGGAGCCUGAAGUAGUAGAGGCCCUCGUACGAGUCGGUGCGCAGCGUGGCGACGCCGCGCGCCAUGAAGAAGUCGCCGGUGCCGCCGACGACGGAGAUGUCCCUCGUCUUCUCCGCCAUGAGGUCGGCGCCCAUGAGGUUGAGGGUGCCCCUGUGCGCCGUGGAGUUGAAGACGAGGGAGAAGGCGAACCACGCGUUGGGGGACUCCUUCUUGUCGUAGAAGAAGAAGCCCUGCGCGCGCGCCACCGGCUCCGACGCCAGCGCCGGCC
rnacentral:lncRNA from 1 species